rnacentral:rRNA from 1 species
AGUGAACGCUGGCGGUAGGCCUAACACAUGCAAGUCGAACGGCAGCACAGUAAGAGCUUGCUCUUACGGGUGGCGAGUGGCGGACGGGUGAGGAAUACUUCGGAAUCUACUUUUUCGUGGGGGAUAACGUAGGGAAACUUACGCUAAUACCGCAUACGACCUACGGGUGAAAGCAGGGGAUCUUCGGCCCUUGCGCGAUUGAAUGAGCCGAUGUCGGAUUAGCUAGUUGGCGGGGUAAAGGCCCACCAAGGCGACGAUCCGUAGCUGGUCUGAGAGGAUGAUCAGCCACACUGGAACUGAGACACGGUCCAGACUCCUACGGGAGGCAGCAGUGGGGAAUAUUGGACAAUGGGCGCAAGCCUGAUCCAGCCAUACCGCGUGGGUGAAGAAGGCCUUCGGGUUGUAAAGCCCUUUUGUUGGGAAAGAAAAGCAGCAGGUUAAUACCCCGCUGUUCUGACGGUACCCAAAGAAUAAGCACCGGCUAACUUCGUG